AUGGUCUCCCAGUUCAUGAUGGAGCUGCAGGGGCUUAAGACCGUGGACGGCGAGGACCCGCCCAGGAUCCUCCACUUCAACCCCCGCCUCCGCGGCGACUGGAGCGGCAAGCCCAUCAUCGAGCAGAACACCUGCUACCGCAUGCAGUGGGGCACCUCGAUCCGAUGUGAGGGCUGGAUGUCCCGUGCCGACGAGGAGACUGUGGAUGGGAUGGUCAAGUGUGAGAAGUGGAUUCAGGACGAAGAUCAGUCCAACGAGUCCAAGACCACAUGGUGGUUGAAUCACCUCAUUGGCCGCACCAAGAAGGUUUCUAGUUCUUGGCCAUACCCAUUUGUGGAGGACCGCCUCUUUGUUCUUACUCUCACCGCUGGAUUGGAGGGAUAUCAUGUGAAUGUUGAUGGCCGGCAUGUGACGUCAUUCCCGUACCGCAUCGGGUUUGGGCUUGAGGAUGCUACUGGCCUAUCAUUGAAUGGGGACCUUGAUGUGCAAUCAGUGUUUGCGGGGACUUUGCCCACUACACAUCCUAGCUUUGCACCGCAGAAACACCUUGAGAUGUUUCCAGCUUGGCAGGCCCCUCCCCUGCCAGAAGAACCAGCCGAGAUAUUCAUCGGCAUCCUGUCAGCAGGCAACCAUUUUGCAGAGCGUAUGGCUGCUCGCAAGACAUGGAUGUCUGCUGCUCAGAAGACUUCGAAUGUCGUCGCUCGAUUUUUUGUUGCGCUGCAUGCCAGAAAGGAAGUGAAUCUUGAGUUGAAAAAGGAAGCAGAAUUUUUUGGGGACAUUGUCAUUGUGCCAUUCAUGGACAGCUAUGAUCUGGUUGUUCUGAAGACGGUUGCCAUAUGCGAAUAUGGGGUCCGUGCCGUCUCUGCGAAAUAUAUAAUGAAAUGUGAUGAUGAUACUUUUGUUAGACUUGAUGCAGUAAUGGCUGAAAUUAAGAAAAUACCGACCGGUAGAAGUCUUUAUAUAGGGAACAUGAAUUAUCGCCACAAUCCAUUGCGCAUUGGGAAAUGGGCUGUUACUUACGAGGAGUGGCCAGAAGAGGAUUAUCCAACAUAUGCAAAUGGUCCUGGAUAUGUUAUAUCUGCUGAUAUCGCAGAUUCUAUUGUUUCAGAAUUUACAGAUCAUAAAUUAAGGCUCUUCAAAAUGGAAGACGUGAGCAUGGGAAUGUGGGUGGGGCGUUUCAACCACACCAGGCCCGUCGAAUACGUGCACAGCGUCAAGUUCUGUCAGUUCGGAUGCAUCGACGACUACUACACCGCGCAUUACCAAUCACCGAGGCAGAUGCUGUGUUUGUGGGACAAGCUGCAGGCUGGGAGACCAUGGUGCUGCAACAUGAGAUAG
rnacentral:rRNA from 1 species